AUUGGGCAGCCCAGUCACACUGUGGACACAGGGGACAGAAAGGACCAUGGCCAGGACUCUUCUCAUUUCUUUGUUGCUCUCUCUUUUUACAGGUUCCCUUCCCCAGCCUAUGGUGACUCAGCCUCCCUCCCUCUCAGCAUUUCCUGGUUUAACAGUCAGACUCACCUGCACCCUGAGCAGUGAUAUCAAUGUUGGCGACAAGUACAUAAACUGGUUACAGCAGAAAGAAGGGAGUCCUCCCAGGUAUCUCCUUACUUACAAGGCUGACUCAGAUAAGUACCAGGGCUCUGGGGUCCCCAACCGCUUCUCUGGAUCCAAAGACACCUCAAAAAAUGCAGGACUUCUGCUCAUUUCUGGGCUUCAGGAUGACGAUGAGGCUGACUAUUACUGUAGUAUCUGGCACAGCAGCAAUAUUGGUUGCACAGUGCUCCAGACCUAUGAGGAAGUGAGACCAAAACCUCUCCGGUAUCUCUCUGCAUCAAAGAAUCCCCCUCUGAGACAUUCAUGA